rnacentral:rRNA from 1 species
UAACUUACAUCUAUGAACGCCAGGGAAUUACGAGCUACGCUUAAAACCCAAAGGAUUUGACGGUGUCCCACCCACCUAGAGGAGCCUGUUCUAUAAUCGAUAAUACCCGCUAUACCCAACCACCUCUUGCUAUUCAGUCUGUAUACCUCCGUCGAAAGCUUACCAUGUGAACGCCUACAGUGAGUACAAUUACCCCCAACGUCAACACGUCAGGUCAAGGUGCAGCUUAAGGGGUGGAAAGAAAUGGGCUACAAUUUCUAAUCUAGAACAAACGAAAGACUAUGUGAAAUCAUGGUACUGAAGGCGGAUUUAGCAGUAAAAAGAAAAUAGAGCGUUCUUUUUAACCUGGCUCUGGGACGCGUACACACCGCCCGUCAC